rnacentral:lncRNA from 1 species
AAAACCCAGCUUCCUGUCUAUGUCGUCAUUAUGGAUCCAUAACAGCGUCACCACAUGCAUUGUUUAUCCCUGAGUUUGAGGUUCGAGGUGAGCUGGGGGAGACUUGGGAGAGGGUUGAGGUUGAAAGCAUGGAGUGAGGGUUGGGGAUGGAGAUAAAGUUAUGUCACGAACACUGAACUAAAUUCAGUUCAGGAGAGAUUAUUAGAUUCCAGGAAAAUAGGUAAUUCGGUCCAAAGUUCCUCUGCUACUGAAGGAAAUAAGUGGAUCUCAGAUGCCUCCAGCGGGAAGAGAGCUAGCUUGUCAAAGGAGGGAACGAGGUGCAUUUCACUGUCAAGGGUCAGGUGUCGGAAUCUCCUCCCAGUGGAUGGAACUACAGACACUCUCGACGGCAAAAAUGGACACACACUGCCUUGUUAAAGACGGGACGCAAAUACUCCUUGACAUCUUUUCAAGACGGGCAAAGCUCUGGAGCGCUUCUGAACCGCAUCUGCUUUCCAUUCUGCCCGCAUCUUUGCUG